CAAGCUGCAGACUCCACCUUUUGCCAUCAGAGGAAUUCCCUGGCAGCUCCAGCCAACACUUGCCCAAGAUCUAAUACAGGAGCUACUGCUGCAGGAUACCCCAGGAUUAACUACCCAGUGAACACUGGAAACCCUGAGAUCGUGAUUAAGGCCAUGAGACUCCUGUGAUAACCGCGCUAAUGAAACAAUUUUUCUCUUUCCAAAGUCUAAGAAGAAAAACAGGUGGACUUGAGUUGAGAUCCUGCAGCCUGGAGGACUCCAGAAGAGUCCAGACAACCGAGUGGGUGGAGAAGAUGAGAAAGAGCUGAUGUGACAGUGUGAUAGUGCUGUGCGCGAAACCACAGAGAA